AACGAACGCUGGCGGCAUGCCUAACACAUGCAAGUCGAACGAGACCUUCGGGUCUAGUGGCGCACGGGUGCGUAACGCGUGGGAAUCUACCCUCAGGUUCGGAAUAACUCAGAGAAAUUUGAGCUAAUACCGUAUGAUGACGUAAGUCCAAAGAUUUAUCGCCUGAGGAUGAGCCCGCGUAGGAUUAGGUAGUUGGUGAGGUAAAGGCUCACCAAGCCGACGAUCCUUAGCUGGUCUGAGAGGAUGAUCAGCCACACUGGGACUGAGACACGGCCCAGACUCCUACGGGAGGCAGCAGUGGGGAAUAUUGGACAAUGGGCGAAAGCCUGAUCCAGCAAUGCCGCGUGAGUGAUGAAGGCCUUAGGGUUGUAAAGCUCUUUUACCCGGGAUGAUAAUGACAGUACCGGGAGAAUAAGCUCCGGCUAACUCCGUG
rnacentral:rRNA from 1 species